GACGAACGCUGGCGGCGUGCCUAAUACAUGCAAGUAGAACGCACAGUUUAUACCGUAGCUUGCUACACCAUACACUGUGAGUUGCGAACGGGUGAGUAACGCGUAGGUAACCUGCCUGGUAGCGGGGGAUAACUAUUGGAAACGAUAGCUAAUACCGCAUAAUAUUGAUUAUUGCAUGAUAAUUGAUUGAAAGAUGCUAUUGCAUCACUACCAGAUGGACCUGCGUUGUAUUAGCUAGUAGGUGAGGUAACGGCUCACGUAGGAGAGGAUACAUAGCCGACCGGAGAUGGUGGUCGGCCACCCUGGGACUGAGACACGGCCCAGACUCCUACGGGAGGCAGCAGUAGGGAAUCUUCGGCAAGGGACGGAAGUCUGACCGAACAACGCCGCGUGAGUGAAGAAGGUUUUCGGAUCGGAAAGCUCUGUUGUAAGAGAAGAACGGGUGUGAGAGUGGAAAGUUCACACUGUGACGGUAUCUUACCAGAAAGGGACGGCUAACUACGUG
rnacentral:rRNA from 1 species